AGAAGGCAACGAAGCGGUCGGAAGGCGGGGGAUUGUUGAGCCCGAUCUCUCGUCCAGUCACCGCGCACUUUCGUACGAUCCAAGACUCGAUGGAGAUGGUGGAGCGAGGCCGACCCGGGGACGAAAACGGGGUGUGGAGAACUCCGCUUGGAUUUCUGGGACGAGGUGGACAUGGAUGUUCCAGCUUUCACAAGACGAUGGCUUCAUGGUAGUUGUUCUGUGGAUUUUUAAUGCCGUUAACGUAAAUUGCAAAUUUCUCAUGAGUCCAGUAAAGAUAACCUUGUAUAACGUGUUUCUAUGAUAAACUUAGAUGUAUUGUUGAUAGUGGGGUCUAGAGAGUUUACGGAUACAGUGACGGCGCCGGUUAAAGUACAUAUACUGUAAUUGGAUGCAGUCUGGAAAUUUAGAAUGUACAGAACGUGAAACUGAAUAAUCCUCCUCUCUUACAUGAUCGUGGGGACGCAGAGCAUAUUAUACAUGGAGGUAUUGUACAGUCAAUGCAAUUGAUGAGGACCACAACAAUGUUAAGGCGCCGAAUGAUCAAUACGAUGAUGAUUACCACGGUUAUAGGACACAGACAGGGGAGCUGUGACUUGGAUGGAUGUCAAGCGGCCGUUUAUGGUUCCAGGAACUCGACUGGGAAAUGGAACAUUAACAGGGAAAUUCUAGAUUGGCAAUAGCAGGUUUAUGUAUGUACUGCAUGUACUAUAUAUAUUUUCUAAAUUUUCAUGGGUCUGUCUAAUACACGUAGGUACAGUAAAGAACAUUAUGUUGACAAGUUUGAAACACAUUUUAAAAUACGGACCCCUUGAAAACAUUGACUUUUAGUUAGGCUUGGGGUGUAAAACUACUUGAGGGACCGAGUCCAUCUGUUAUGCCGAGACUAACAUGUCAUAACUUCAUCAAAGAUCACAACAAAUAUGUUUAUCUCUAUCGGGAGAAAACAUACCGACGGUCAGAUGGGAUGGACAGUUUCUUCAUAUAUACACAAAAUAAAAACCAUAACUUCAUCAACAAAGAUCACACCAAAUAUGUUUAUCUCUAUCGGGAGAAAACAUACCGACGGUCAGAUGGGACGGACAAUUUCUUCAUACAUUCACAAAAUAAACACCAUAACUUCAUCAACAAAGAUCACACCAAAUAUGUUUAUCUCUAUCGGGAGAAAGCACACCGACGGUCAGAUGGGACAGGCAGUUUCUUCAUACAUACACAAAAUAAACACCUUCUCCUGUCCGUACAGUUUCUUCAUACAUAGAUAUAGGCAGUUUGCUUCGUUUCUUUGGAACAUAACAUUUGGGGUUGUUUCGUCCUGCAGUUUAAACCGAUAUCCUCACUAAAAGUCUAUCAAAUCACUUCUCUAUGUAAAGGUGUUUCCAAGACUUGUUAGCUAAUGUUUUUAUACUGUAACAUUUUGAUUCAAAUAUUGAUGGGGUUCGUUUGCAAUUUGGAUUUAACUAUUGUUAUAUAUCGCCAAUGGUCAUCAAUUUAUCUAAAUAAGCUUGUUAUUGCCAAACUAGUAUUUUUCUAAUGAAGUUGUCUACAGAUAUCUAUUGUUUUUAUUUUUCAUUUAUAUUAUAUGCAUUAUUAUGUUUAAUUACAUUGUAAGGUCAGCAGUGAGUAAACACUUCCGAUAGAUUCUCAAUACUGAUCACUGAUGUCCGAAACGCCUACAAAGAUCAAAAUGUUUCAUAUGGGGUAACAUAAUACUUUAUAAGGACGUUAGGUCAACAUUCAAAAUUUUUCAUUGUCUAUACUUGGGACAUAAAACUUUAUGGAUUCUUCAUGUCAAAUUACAACUCUUUCGAAACUUUCGACCGAGCAACAGGAUUUUUUUGUUAAAAGAUGUUAUCUUUUCAUAUUUUUAUUGUUUUCGAGGGGAGGUUUUUUAUUAAGGUUUAUUUCUGUAAUUCACUUAUAUUACUCAAAUAAUUACCUUAGAAUAAUAUCUUUAAAGACUGUAGGCUUUUCUGGCAGAAUAUUUAAUGUUUUUUGGAAACAAAUAUUCACAUAUAAUGUGUAUUAUUGUGUUUGUCGUUGGUAACUGAAUACGUCAUUAGAAAUAACCAUUUCGAAAUUACAAUUUGUUCGAAUCUUUCGACAAACCAACGUGAUUUUUUUUGUUUUCAUCUAAAUAAGCUUUGUUAUUGCCAAACUAGUAUUUUUCUAAUGAAGUUGUCUACAGAUAUCUAUUGUUUUUAUUUUUCAUUUAUAUUAUAUGCAUUAUUAUGUUUAAUUACAAUGUAAGGUCAGCAGUGAGUAAACACUUCCGAUAGAUUCUCAAUACUGACCACUGAUGUCCGAAACGCCUACAAAGAUCAAAAUGUUUCAUAUGGGGUAACAUAAUACUUUAUAAGGACGUUAGGUCAACAUUCAAAAUUUUUCAUUGUCUAUACUUGGGACAUAAAACUUUAUGGAUUCUUCAUGAUGUCAAAUUACAACUCUUUCGAAACUUUCGACCGAGCAACAGGAUUUUUUUGUUAAAAGAUGUUAUCUUUUCAUAUUUUUAUUGUUUUCGAGGGGAGGUUUUUAUUAAGGUUUAUUUCUGUAAUUCUCUUAUAUUACUCAAAUAAUUACCUUAGAAUAAUAUCUUUAAAGACUGUAGGCUUUUCUGGCAGAAUAUUUAAUGUUUUUUGGAAACAAAUAUUCACAUAUAAUGUGUAUUAUUGUGUUUGUCGUUGGUAACUGAAUACGCCAUUAGAAAUAACCAUUUCGAAAUUACAAUUUGUUCGAAACUUUCGACAAACCAACAUGAUUUUUUUUUGUUUUCAUCUAAAUAAGCUUUGUUAUUGCCAAACUAGUAUUUUUCUAAUGAAGUCGUCUACAGACGUCUGCUGUUAUUAUUUUUCAUUUAUAUUAUGUUCAUGAUUAUGUUUAUUAAAAUGUAAGGUCAGCAGUGAGUAAACACUUCCGGUUGAUCAGAGCACUUGGGAAAAUCCUACCUCCCCCUUCCUAAAUGGGAGUUAGGGUUGGGUAGCCGGCUCUCAACACAGACCACUCAUGUCAUAAACGCCUACAAAGAUCAGAAUGUUUAAUUUUGGGUAACAUAAUACUUUAUAUGGACGUUAGGUCUGUAAUUCUCUUAUAUUACUCAAAUAAUUACCUUAGAAUAAUAUCUUUAAAGACUGUAGGCUUUUCUGGCAGAAUAUUUAAUGUUUUUUGGAAACAAAUAUUCACAUAUAAUGUGUAUUAUUGUGUUUGUCGUUGGUAACUGAAUACGUCAUUAGAAAUAACCAUUUCGAAAUUACAAUUUGUUCGAAUCUUUCGACAAACCAACGUGAUUUUUUUUGUUUUCAUCUAAAUAAGCUUUGUUAUUGCCAAACUAGUAUUUUUCUAAUGAAGUUGUCUACAGAUAUCUAUUGUUUUUAUUUUUCAUUUAUAUUAUAUGCAUUAUUAUGUUUAAUUACAAUGUAAGGUCAGCAGUGAGUAAACACUUCCGAUAGAUUCUCAAUACUGACCACUGAUGUCCGAAACGCCUACAAAGAUCAAAAUGUUUCAUAUGGGGUAACAUAAUACUUUAUAAGGACGUUAGGUCAACAUUCAAAAUUGUUCAUUGUCUAUACUUGGGACAUAAAACUUUAUGGAUUCUUCAUGAUGUCAAAUUACAACUCUUUCGAAACUUUCGACCGAGCAACAGGAUUUUUUUGUUAAAAGAUGUUAUCUUUUCAUAUUUUUAUUGUUUUCGAGGGGAGGUUUUUAUUAAGGUUUAUUUCUGUAAUUCUCUUAUAUUACUCAAAUAAUUACCUUAGAAUAAUAUCUUUAAAGACUGUAGGCUUUUCUGGCAGAAUAUUUAAUGUUUUUUGGAAACAAAUAUUCACAUAUAAUGUGUAUUAUUGUGUUUGUCGUUGGUAACUGAAUACGCCAUUAGAAAUAACCAUUUCGAAAUUACAAUUUGUUCGAAACUUUCGACAAACCAACAUGAUUUUUUUUUUGUUUUCAUCUAAAUAAGCUUUGUUAUUGCCAAACUAGUAUUUUUCUAAUGAAGUCGUCUACAGACGUCUGCUGUUAUUAUUUUUCAUUUAUAUUAUGUUCAUGAUUAUGUUUAUUAAAAUGUAAGGUCAGCAGUGAGUAAACACUUCCGGUUGAUCAGAGCACUUGGGAAAAUCCUACCUCCCCCUUCCUAAAUGGGAGUUAGGGUUGGGUAGCCGGCUCUCAACACAGACCACUCAUGUCAUAAACGCCUACAAAGAUCAGAAUGUUUAAUUUUGGGUAACAUAAUACUUUAUAUGGACGUUAGGUCUGUAAUUCUCUUAUAUUACUCAAAUAAUUACCUUAGAAUAAUAUCUUUAAAGACUGUAGGCUUUCCUGACAGAAUAUUUAAUGUUUUUUCGAUAUUAUUAUGUGCAUUAUUGUGUUUGUAGGAUUUUGUCAGACGCAUAAGAUGUUUUAAUUUAUAUUUGUUUUUCGCUGAUAUUACUCUUGGGACAAUAUCACCGACAUAUGAUUUUUCUUUAUUAUAAUCAUAAUGAUUAUCUUAUGUUAAAUUAAUACUCAUUAUAUAGGUUGUGUGUUUUUUUGUACUCCCAUAUUAAACAUUAUUUUGUUUUUUUUUACGCCCAUUAUUUUAUGCCUGUAGGUCUGUAAUGCUACAUGUCAAACUUCUAAAUUUUCCAUUUUUCUAAACUUGGUACAAAACUUUAUGGAUUCUUCAUGAUGUCAAAUUACAACUCUUUCGAAACUUUCGACCGAGCAACAGGAUUUUUUUGUUAAAAGAUGUUAUCUUUUCAUAUUUUUAUUGUUUUCGAGGGGAGGUUUUUAUUAAGGUUUAUUUCUGUAAUUCACUUAUAUUACUCAAAUAAUUACCUUAGAAUAAUAUCUUUAAAGACUGUAGGCUUUUCUGGCAGAAUAUUUAAUGUUUUUUGGAAACAAAUAUUCACAUAUAAUGUGUAUUAUUGUGUUUGUCGUUGGUAACUGAAUACGCCAUUAGAAAUAACCAUUUCGAAAUUACAAUUUGUUCGAAACUUUCGACAAACCAACAUGAUUUUUUUUUGUUUUCAUCUAAAUAAGCUUUGUUAUUGCCAAACUAGUAUUUUUCUAAUGAAGUCGUCUACAGACGUCUGCUGUUAUUAUUUUUCAUUUAUAUUAUGUGCAUGAUUAUGUUUAUUAAAAUGUAAGGUCAGCAGUGAGUAAACACUUCCGGUUGAUCAGAGCACUUGGGAAAAUCCUACCUCCCCCUUCCUAAAUGGGAGUUAGGGUUGGGUAGCCGGCUCUCAACACAGACCACUCAUGUCAUAAACGCCUACAAAGAUCAGAAUGUUUAAUUUUGGGUAACAUAAUACUUUAUAUGGACGUUAGGUCUGUAAUUCUCUUAUAUUACUCAAAUAAUUACCUUAGAAUAAUAUCUUUAAAGACUGUAGGCUUUCCUGACAGAAUAUUUAAUGUUUUUUCGAUAUUAUUAUGUGCAUUAUUGUGUUUGUAGGAUUUUGUCAGACGCAUAAGAUGUUUUAAUUUAUAUUUGUUUUUCGCUGAUAUUACUCUUGGGACAAUAUCAUCGACAUAUGAUUUUUCUUUAUUAUAAUCAUAAUGAUUAUCUUAUGUUAAAUAAAUACUCAUUAUAUAGGUUGUGUGUUUUUUUGUACUCCCAUAUUAAACAUUAUUUUGGGUUUUUUACGCCCAUUAUUUUAUGCCUGUAGGUCUGUAAUGCUACAUGUCAAACUUCUAAAUUUUCCAUUUUUCUAAACUUGGUACAAAUCUUUAUGGGAAUUUGAACGGGGUAAAAAAUAUUUCGAAAGUUUCUGCAUACCAAAAUGAUUUGAAGGUGGGGGGGGGGGAUCCUGACCGCCAGACCAUCAUGCAAUAGGUCAACAUUCUAAAUUUUCUAUUUUUCUAAACUUGGAACAUAAACCUUUAUGGGAAUUAGAAUGGGUCAAAAUUAUUUCGAAAUUUUCGACAUACCAACAUGUAGUAGUGGGUGCGGGGUGGAUAUGAUUUUAGGAGCAACCGCAUUUCAUAGCUUUUAAAAUAUUGUUUAAUAUGGACCAAUUGAUAAUUUAAAAGAUUAUAUUAUUGUUUGUUAAUCAAUUAAUUACUGAUAGAUGUAGUUAAAAAUCAUUUACAAAUAAAAUAUUUCACCAUC